rnacentral:rRNA from 1 species
GUUUUGGAUACAUAUUGUCAAGCUUCUGGCCAGCGAGUUAAUUAUGCAAAAUCAUCCAUCUUCUUCAGCAAAGGGGUUCCAGAAAAUAUCUACAAUGACAUAAAGGGCAUCUUGCAUGUACGAAAUGAGACUUUGAAUGAAAAAUAUUUAGGUAUGCCUUCUGACAUCGGUUCCUCAAAGAAUGGUGCUUUCAAAUAUUUUAAGAACAGAUUGUGGAUUAGGAUUCAAGGAUGGAUAGAGAAGUCUCUGUCCACGACUGGAAAAGAGGUUCUUGUUAAGGCGGUUGCUUAG